GUCCGAUAGAGGCUCUGUGAGGACAGGCUGGCUCCUGAAAUGUGAGCAUGCUGCAGAGUGGGUUGCAUUCACUGAUGCCUUUGGAUUUGCCACAAGGCAGAGUGAAAUCUCCUGCACCUCACUAGCUCUCUUGUUUCUAAGAAGACCUGGAAGCAACACAGGUCACUUCCUCCCCUUUAAAGCUUGCCAGCUGAAGCAAUCAGCAUCCCUGCAGCCUAAACUGAAAGACAAGUAACAUGAUGGAAACGUGCAACUGGAACCACCAGCAUCCCUUUCUUCCCUCAUGUUCAUGCAUUGCCCCAUGCCCUGUAACAGGUCUCAUCUUCAAGUGUCUGUGCUACAGUCUGUACCCAGCACUGCCCAGUUCCUGCAGUUGUUCCUUUGUGCAUUACACAUCUUCCUUGCAUUUGCAGGUUUCCUUCCACAUAAUCUUUUCUCCAUUCUCUUUUUCCUUUCCAGCACCAUUUUUGUUCAACAACUCCCUCCUCCUCUGUUUCCCUGGUUUAGCCCAUACUGAAAUUAAGGUGUGAUAUUAACUACACAGGAUAACCCAAUCAUUUUACUAGUCUAAAAUGGGCACAGUAGGCUAGUUUUAAAUCAUGUUAAAUGGAUCAACUUUGAAUAUAAGAGACAUUUUAAAUCCUAAUGGAGGCAAGAAACUUAAGUUUCUUUGCAUUUCUCUUAGUUUAUAUCAAUUUCUGACUCAUCCUUUCCAAGAGUCUCCUCAGUUUUGUCCUGGUCUUUGUCAUCCAGAAUCCAUCUUUUUUACCCCUUUCUACCCCAAAGAGGCUCUUUUGCAAAACUUUUCCAUUACCCUAAAGAGCACACACAAGUCUUAUGUUUUUCCUCUUCAGAAUCUGCUACCCACAACAUGAUUUUUAGCCACUCUCAGGCAAAUCACGUGGCUUUUCUUAUUUUGAUAUUUUCCUUUUGCAUGUAUUUAAGUUAAUAUUUGAUCACUUCUCAUUCCAAAUUUAUCACUCCUUCCCCAAAGACUUAAAA
ensembl:lncRNA